UACGAAGGGGGCUAGCGUUGUUCGGAUUUACUGGGCGUAAAGCGCACGUAGGCGGAUCGUUAAGUUAGGGGUGAAAUCCCAGGGCUCAACCCUGGAACUGCCUUUAAUACUGGCGAUCUAGAGUCCGGAAGAGGUGAGUGGAACUCCUAGUGUAGAGGUGGAAUUCGUAGAUAUUCGGAGGAACACCAGUGGCGAAGGCGGCUCACUGGUCCAUUACUGACGCUGAGGAGCGAAAGCGUGGGGAGCGAACAGG
rnacentral:rRNA from 1 species